AAGUAUGGGUUAUCAUGACAGAUCUUUGGAAGUUCCUUCCACACACACACACACUAUAAAAAGUUUUUAAGUCCUAGACCAAGUCUGUCCAAUAGAACUUUUGCAGCAAGGAAAAUAUUCUAUAUCUGUGCUGCCCAACACAGAAGUGACAGGCCACCACGUAGCUACUGAGGUGUGGUUCAUGCAACCGGUUAACUAUAUUUUCUAUUUUAUUUAAUUUUAAUUCCAAUAUCCACAUGUAGCUACUGGCUAUUGUAUUAGACUGCAUAGUCCUAAACAAUAGCUAACAUUCCAGAGUUUAUAGUUGCACUUUAUAGUUCCAAAAGUGUGUCAAGACGAAUUACGUAAUUGUUCUUUUUGUUUAGUCUGUGGUGUUUACAUCUGUCCCAGGCCAACAACUGCUCUUGGCUAGCCCUCUUGGGUAUGGGCUUUAAUCCCACUACCACAAACAUCUGCUUUAUAAAUAAUAAUGCUUAAGAUGCCUGAUAGAAUCUGAUUUUGCAGCCAAAGGAAUCCUUUCCACUAACUACAAAAGAAAUCCUUUUUCUCUCUAGACAUUGUAAUUGGCAUCUAGUUAGAAUCACUCUAUAUAUAAUCUUGGGAAAUAAACAGCCACUGAUGGUUAACAAGUAGCUCAUAUUGUUAGUAGUUCAUAUUGUACUUGAUAAGCAAUAUUCCGAUUAAUAAUUUUUGUUUGUUCAGAAUUGGCAGUGGAGAUUGGACCCCGGCUCCAUGAGGGCCUCGUACUGAAGCAGGAUAAGGUGAGGAGAGCCUCAUCUGGGGUGAUGGAGGUGGGGAGGGAAGUCAGGGGUCAGGAGACCCUUUGGAGAAAAACACACCCAGCAGUACCUGAGGAGUGGCCUAGGAUGGGAGGAGUGGGGGUGGGGUGAAUUCUAGUUUCCAGCAUUACUGACAACUGAGGGGAAACUGGCUUCCUGACUUAGGGGUGAGGAGGGAGCAUAUGUGGGCUUGGGCUGGUGUUGAGCAUGAGGUGCUGGAGAGGCAGCAGAUAUAGCAGUCCAAUGGGGGCCUGAGAUAGCCGGGACUGCAGAUCAGUGGGGG
rnacentral:lncRNA from 1 species